UUGUGUCUUUCAUGUGGACCAAUGUCCAUGGACUCUUUUUGUUCAUGUUAGUGAUUAAUUACAAAGGAAUUAAUGAAAUUGACCAGGAUCACCCUACAGGUGUUAACUCUCCAGCUUCUUAGAGGAGAAUGCAUGCGGCUCAAGCAAGUCCCUGCCACUGUCCUAGGUGCUGGGAAACUCUAGAAGAAACUGAAGACAUAUGGAGCAUUCAUGAAGGGUCGAAGGAGUUUGAAUGCACUGCAAUGUCUAGAACAGCCUUGCACAAAAAAGAGUCAUCUUGUAUUCUGCACAACUUUUGAAAAUCCUAAAAGGGCCUUCAG